UAGGGAAUCUUCGGCAAUGGACGAAAGUCUGACCGAGCAACGCCGCGUGAGUGAAGAAGGUUUUCGGAUCGUAAAACUCUGUUGUUAGAGAAGAACAAGGACGUUAGUAACUGAACGUCCCCUGACGGUAUCUAACCAGAAAGCCACGGCUAACUACGUGCCAGCAGCCGCGGUAAUACGUAGGUGGCAAGCGUUGUCCGGAUUUAUUGGGCGUAAAGCGAGCGCAGGCGGUUUCUUAAGUCUGAUGUGAAAGCCCCCGGCUCAACCGGGGAGGGUCAUUGGAAACUGGGAGACUUGAGUGCAGAAGAGGAGAGUGGAAUUCCAUGUGUAGCGGUGAAAUGCGUAGAUGUAUGGAGGAACACCAGUGGCGAAGGCGGCUCUCUGGUCUGUAACUGACGCUGAGGCUCGAAAGCGUGGGGAGCAAACAGG
rnacentral:rRNA from 1 species